CCUACGGGAGGCAGCAGUGGGGAAUAUUGCACAAUGGCGGAAACGCUGAUGCAGCAACGCCGCGUUAGUGAAGAAGUCUUUCGGUAUGUAAAGCUCUAUCAGCAGGGAAGGGAAUGACGGUACCUGACUAAGAAGCCCCGGCUAACUACGUGCCAGCAGCCGCGUGAAUACGUAGGGGGCAGGCGUUAUCCGGAGUUACUGGGUGUCAAGGGAGCGUAGACGGCUGUACAAGUCUGAAGUGAAAGCUCGUGGCUCAAACGCGGAACUGCUGUGGAUACUGUAAGGCUGGAGUACUGGAGAGGUAGGCGGAAUUACUAGUGUAGCGGUGAAAUGCGUAGAUAUUAGGAGGAACACCAGUGGCGAAGGCGGCCUGCUGGACAGAAACUGACGUUGAGGCUCGAAAGCGUGGGGAGCAAACAGGAUUAGAUACCCGGGUAGUC
rnacentral:rRNA from 1 species